AAUUGUUAAAUAACACAUACCUUUUUAAAGGAAAAUCUGGAGUCGUGAUGAAAUGUUCGAGGAGAUGAAAGAUGCUGGUGCAUCGUCUCUUGGUUUUGCUUUCUCUCAAGAAGAGUCUGGUCGUGUUGGACAAGCUGAGCUUAUUCGAAGAUACGACACAACGCUAAAAAAGCCUCGUGGAGACUGACUACAAAUAUCCCUAGGGUAUAAAUCAAUGAGGGUAGCUUAUGUAUAGACUGGGUAAAUCAAUGUUUAAUAAUAGGGGUGGGUUGGGCUGUGGACAUGCCCCAAAAAUCGUGUCACAUUAGGACUUAACGUUGCGUCUUUGAAAAUUCUGCUAUUCAUCUCACCUGUGAAAGUGUACUGAUAUUUAUUAUGGGUUUUGUGCAUUUUAAGUGUGGUUCUUAUAUGGGGUUAACAGGAAAGUUAAAUAUAAAGACAUUCUAUUUUUCUUUCUUGGACGACUUUCACAACCCGUGAAACAUCAACUUACAAAAGAGCUGAGUUAAAACAGUAAAAGUGAUAAAAAAACUUCAAGGUAUUAACUAUUCUAGAACGUAUUUUUAUACGGCUUUUCAGUUGUGUUUCUUUGCCCUUUUGUGUUUAUUGGUAACGUAGCUCCGUAACGUAGAUCAGUAACGUAGAUCGGUAACUUAGAUGUGUACAAGUAUACUAUCGACUCGAAAAAGCAACCAAGUUAUUUUAUUGAGUUUAUUUAUGUUCAUUCCAGAAUAUUUCGAAAUUCAGCUGAUAAGGAAGUGAGAGUUUAUUUUUGAGGUUCACGGCCGCUGGCUUUUCUAGUCGAUACUUAUUUAUAAAAGUUGUUAUGGGGUAUGAAAGAAUGUCGUUCGUUAUUUACAAUAGUGGACCUCCUUGAAUUCUUGGGUAUUUUUGUGAUUAAUUGGGAAAUCCUUGGUUUUAUUUUGUAUUAUUUUAUAUUCACGCCAUUCAAUAGGGGAUUUGUACGGGGGUGUCAUUUUACUGCAACUACCAGAAUGCUCUGCGUGCAUCGAAAUACAAAGUGUGCAAAGUAUACUGGUGGUUGCAGUACAGUACAGCCUAUCUAUUGAUAUUUUACUAAGGUGUUUAUGUACAGUUAUUUCGUACUCAGCAAUUAGGCUGUUAUUAAUAUUAUUAUCAAAUUAGGUCUAUUAUUUUAAAUUAAAAGAAAUGGUAAAUAUAUUUGCUGCCUUUUAUGCAGAAUUAAAAGAUAUGAAACUAU